GACGAACGCUGGCGGCGUGCCUAAUACAUGCAAGUCGAGCGCAGGAAAUCGACGGAACCCUUCGGGGGGAAGUCGACGGAAUGAGCGGCGGACGGGUGAGUAACACGUAAAGAACCUGCCCUCAGAUCUGGGAUAACCACGAGAAAUCGGGGCUAAUACCGGAUGGGUCAUCGGACCGCAUGGUCCGAGGAUGAAAGGCGCUCCGGCGUCGCCUGGGGAUGGCUUUGCGGUGCAUUAGCUAGUUGGUGGGGUAAUGGCCCACCAAGGGGACGAUGCAGAGCCGACCGGAGAGGGUGAUCGGCCACACUGGGACUGAGACACGGCCCAGACUCCUACGGGAGGCAGCAGUAGGGAAUCUCCCACAAUGGACGAAAGUCUGAUGGAGCAACGCCGCGUGAACGAUGAAGGCCUUCGGGUCGUAAAGUUCUGUUGUAAGGGAAGAACAAGUGCCGCAGGCAAUGGCGGCACCUUGACGGUACCUUGCGAGAAAGCCACGGCUAACUACGUGCCAGCCGCCGCCGUAAAAC
rnacentral:rRNA from 1 species